UACGUAGGGUGCAAGCGUUGUCCGGAAUUAUUGGGCGUAAAGGGCUCGUAGGCGGUCCAUCGCGUCGGGUGUGAAAAGCUGGGGCUCAACCCCAGUCCUGCUUUCGAUACGGGUGGACUAGAGGUAUGCAGGGGAGAACGGAAUUCCUGGUGUAGCGGUGAAAUGCGCAGAUAUCAGGAGGAACACCGGUGGCGAAGGCGGUUCUCUGGGCAGUACCUGACGCUGAGGAGCGAAAGCGUGGGGAGCAAACAGG
rnacentral:rRNA from 1 species